CUAAGUGAAAGUCGGACGCUCAACCGACUAAGCCACCCAGGCGCCCCGCAGCUCACUCUUAAAGACCCGAAUACAAAGAACUCCCUGCUCUGUACAUGAAGAUGUGCAUUUGGCUGUGAAGACCGCGAGCACACACUGUCCUUCCCAGGGAGGGGCCCUCAUCCCAGCCCAUCUCUUCCACGGUGAAGCAGGUCAUCAAGAAAGAGGCCACAAGCCCUGCAGCCUGGCAGGGACCCCAACUCGGAAUGUCCUGUGGGUGCUCUGCGCGAGGUUUCCUUCGUCCCUCAAAUUUCUCGAAGCUGAGCAAGAGCAUGAGACGCAAGUUCCAAAUGGGAACUGAAGGCAGGCUGUUAUCACACGUACGCCGCUCCGCUUGUUUUCACAAGGAGUCGACACACGCUUCGUGUCCCUUCCGAUCAAGAGCUGCUCUGAUAAUAAUAGGCUGCAGUCACCAGACAGACAUGUAUGGGGCCACUCAGGGCAGGCCCUCGGGACCAACCGUGAUCCAGACCAACUCAGGCUCUGCUGGUGGGGAGCAAACGGGCUGGAGGAGGACACAGAAAAGCCUCAUUGUCCCAUCAAGAGAUGGAGCGCCAUGCUGGCCCAUGAAGGAGCACGGAGGGCCUGCAUGCUGGUUAGGCCCAGGAGGCUGCCUGGAGGAGGCAGCUGAAGACCAGA